rnacentral:rRNA from 1 species
CCUACGGGAGGCAGCAGUGAGGAAUAUUGGUCAAUGGACGCAAGUCUGAACCAGCCAUGCCGCGUGCGGGAAGACGGCUCUAUGAGUUGUAAACUGCGUUUGUACGGAGGUAAAUCCCGAUAAGUGUAUCGUGUUGAAAGUAUCGUACGAAUAAGGAUCGGCUAACUCCGUUCCAGCCGCCGCGGUAAUACGGAGGAUUCAAGCGUUAUCCGGAUUUAUUGGGUUUAAAGGGAGCGUAGGCGGUUCGAUAAGUUAGAGGUGAAAUCCCGGGGCUCAACUCCGGCACUGCCUCUGAUACUGUCGGGCUAGAGGUGAGUUGCGGUAGGCGGAAUGUAUGGUGUAGCGGUGAAAUGCAUAGAGAUCAUACAGAACACCGAUUGCGAAGGCAGCUUACCAAACUACGACUGACGUUGAGGCACGAAAGCGUGGGGAGCAAACAGGAUUAGAUACCCGAGUAGUC